rnacentral:snoRNA from 1 species
UGGACCACUGAUCAUAUAUAAUGAAUCAAGGAUUCUAAUUAAUCCAAAUCUGUGAUUCUGAGGUCUUAA